AACGAACGCUGGCGGCAUGCCUAACACAUGCCAGUCGAACGAGACCUUCGGGUCUAGUGGCGCACGGGUGCGUAACGCGUGGGAAUCUGCCCUUGGGUUCGGAAUAACAGUUGGAAACGACUGCUAAUACCGGAUGAUGACGUAAGUCCAAAGAUUUAUCGCCCAAGGAUGAGCCCGCGUAGGAUUAGCUAGUUGGUGAGGUAAAGGCUCACCAAGGCGACGAUCCUUAGCUGGUCUGAGAGGAUGAUCAGCCACACUGGGACUGAGACACGGCCCAGACUCCUACGGGAUGCAGCAGUGGGGAAUAUUGGACAAUGGGCGAAAGCCUGAUCCAGCAAUGCCGCGUGAGUGAUGAAGGCCUUAGGGUUGUAAAGCUCUUUUACCCGGGAUGAUAAUGACAGUACCGGGAGAAUAAGCUCCGGCUAACUCCGUG
rnacentral:rRNA from 1 species